CCUUUCUAGUUUCUACUCCAUCGUCCUUUCUGCUACCUCUUGAUCUGCAACAAAAGAUUUUGAUUUGCAAAAAUCGCCUGGUGUUCUCCCCUCCACCAUUGAAGAAGCCGCCACUGGUUUCAACGUCUCUGCCAGCUUCUUCGUCGCCGCCAGCUACUCCGACUAUUGCAGGUAAGGUUUUCUUUUAUUAUUUCCCGUUAAAAACCAUUCUUAGCACAUACAUCAAUUUCUUCUUCUUUCUUUUUUUCUUUGAAUUAUAUCAUUUUUUUUGCAAUGAAAAACAACUCUCAGUAGAUAUAUCAAUUUUUUCUUCUUAUUUGCACUGUAUUUGAUUAUCAUUAUCGCUGGUGGUGUUUGUUUAUUUCCGAUGAUGCACACUGCUAUUCUAUACAAAUGGGUGUUUGAGUUUACAAAACGUAGGGUUGUGUUCAUGUACACAUUUAAAGUCGUUCAAGGGUCUAGAGGAUUGUGCAAACACUUUUGGUGCUGCAAGUAUUUGGAGGUGGAGGUAUAUGAGGAUUGGUGCUGCAAG
rnacentral:lncRNA from 1 species